CUUGAAGAGGCUUUUGGGGCUCCCGCCCCACCUUCUCUCUUUUUAACUUCCUGGUCACCAUGAGGUGACAGCUAUCUAAGCUUGGUGCUCCUGCAUCUACCGAUACGUGGAUACCCCUACAGAUAAACACAGAUAUGAUAAUUCUGUGAAGAAAAUACUGCUUUCCUGCACUGAACUGAAUGACAAUAACCAUGGUUUUAAAUUUCAACUACCUGACACACCCUUCCAGCAAGGAGCUAGUGCUGCUGAAAUGUGUGCUGUUUUAUACCGUUUGCAGACACAAGAAAGCCCUGGCUGUGUGACAGGCUCCUCAGGAGGCACAGCGUCAGCCAGCACCAGAUCUUGGAAAUCCGAGCUUCCACAACUGAAGGUGAUGUUGCAUCCACUCCCAUAUUGAUGCUGACCUUGGCCAUGUGACUCACUUCCAUCAAAGAGGUGCCAGAAAAUGCCACAGAAGGAGGGAGCUGCAAGCUUCAAACUACUGCUGACUUCUAAUUAGGUUUGGCUGCAGAAGGCAUUGGUAUUUAUGGGGCGUCUGAGACCUUAUCUCAGACAGUUCAUGGUCUCCAACCUGGAUCCGGCUGUCUCCACAGCAGAUGCAGCAAUUGAUUCAAGGUCCUUCAGAGGUUCCAGCAAAUGUAGGACAGAGCUCUCCCUCGGUUCUAGUCCUAUUUCUGGGUGUCCCUUCGAAGUCUCUGGACCUCUUUCCACCAAGAGUCCUCGGACCAACUGUGCAGCAGCUUCACUGGUCCAAUACCUACUGUGUGAAGUGUCCGUGAGGAUCCAAGCCCUUCCUCAUGAUGCUCCCUUGGUGGAGUUACCACCUCCCUGGCUGAGAUUUGGAGCUCUGAUCACAACUGCCCCAAUUUUGCAUUCUUGCAGCCUGAGAGAGAGCAGCUGCUUGCUGUGUUAAUAACGUUGGUAUUAUUUCACCGUCCCCAUUGCUCUCCCUGCCUUUCUUGCAUUUUAAUGAACACCC
rnacentral:lncRNA from 1 species